rnacentral:rRNA from 1 species
AUUGAACGCUGGCGGCAUGCUUUACACAUGCAAGUCGAACGGUAACAGGGUGCUUGCACCGCUGACGAGUGGCGAACGGGUGAGUAAUACAUCGGAAUGUACCCAGUAAUGGGGGAUAACGCUUCGAAAGGAGUGCUAAUACCGCAUACGCCCUGAGGGGGAAAGGGGGGGACCGCAAGGCCUCACGUUAGUGGAGCAGCCGAUGGCUGAUUAGCUAGUUGGUGAGGUAAAGGCUCACCAAGGCGACGAUCAGUAGCGGGUCUUAGAGGACGAUCCGCCACACUGGAACUGAGACACAGUCCAGACUCCUACGGGAGGCAGCAGUGGGGAAUCUUGGACAAUGGGCGAAAGCCUGAUCCAGCAAUGCCGCGUGCGUGAAGAAGGCCUUCGGGUUGUAAAGCGCUUUUGUCUGGGAGCAAAUCCUGGCCUCUAAUACAGGUCGGGGAUGAGAGUACCAGAAGAAUAAGGACCGGCUAACUACGUGCCAGCCGCCGCUGUAAGAC